CCUACGGGUGGCAGCAGUGAGGAAUAUUGGUCAAUGGCCGGAAGGCUGAACCAGCCAAGCCGCGUGAAGGACGACGGUCCUAAGCAUUGUAAACUUCUUUUGUCGAGGGACAAAAUGAGGCACGUGAGCCUGACUGAGGGUACCUGAAGAAAAAGCAUCGGCUAACUCCGUGCCAGCAGCCGCGGUAAUACGGAGGAUGCGAGCGUUAUCCGGAUUUAUUGGGUUUAAAGGGUGCGUAGGCGGGCGGUUAAGUCAGCGGUAAAAGCCCGGGGCUCAACCCCGGAGUGCCGUUGAAACUGGAUGCCUUGAGUGGGCGAGAGGUAUGCGGAAUGCGCGGUGUAGCGGUGAAAUGCUUAGAUAUUGCGCAGAACUCCGAUUGCGAAGGCAGCAUACCGGCGGGCAACUGACGCUGAGGCACGAAAGCGUGGGUAUCGAACAGGAUUAGAUACCCGAGUAGUC
rnacentral:rRNA from 1 species